AACGAACGCUGGCGGCAGGCCUAACACAUGCAAGUCGAGCGAGCAUUUCGGUGCUAGCGGCGGACGGGUGAGUAACGCGUGGGAACGUGCCCUUUCUGCGGAAUAGUCCUGGGAAACUGGGGGUAAUACCGCAUACGCCCUUUUGGGGAAAGAUUUAUCGGAGAAGGAUCGGCCCGCGUUGGAUUAGGUAGUUGGUGGGGUAAUGGCCCACCAAGCCGACGAUCCAUAGCUGGUUUGAGAGGAUGAUCAGCCACACUGGGACUGAGACACGGCCCAGACUCCUACGGGAGGCAGCAGUGGGGAAUCUUAGACAAUGGGGGCAACCCUGAUCUAGCCAUGCCGCGUGAGUGAUGAAGGCCUUAGGGUUGUAAAGCUCUUUCAGCUGGGAAGAUAAUGACGGUACCAGCAGAAGAAGCCCCGGCUAACUCCGUG
rnacentral:rRNA from 1 species